rnacentral:lncRNA from 1 species
CAGCAAGGUUACAGCCACUCAGGCUUCUCCAGCCUUUGUUUUCUAGGUUUAGUUGCAACAGAGAUCUUAAGUUAAUAGAGAACUCAUUUCUGUGUGUUUUACUGCUAAUGGUUAAAGUGUUUGGAUCAGAAACAAUGCAAAUUAUAUCAAGAGAAAAAUAUGGGGAGCUAUCCCAAGAGCAGAGACCCAGCUUUUGUCAAGCUUUUUCUUAUUUUGAGUGGUAAGGAUCUGCUACAGAUCUUAGAAUAGAAUGAGAUUUUUUUUUAACAUGGAAACACAUGAUUUCCAAUACACUUCCUUGGGUAGCGUAACUGGUUUUAACAGAAUACUACAUCCAGUCAUGUACUGUAUAUGUGUUCACGUCAACAUGAAACUCCAGAUGAUUUAUACCUUGACAUCCUGGCCUAUGGCCAUACACCAAAAGCAAGAUCCAUUCACGGGAUGAUACACACAUCUUUCCACCACAGAGAAAUCGUUUGGAAAACAGAAAGCUAUUUUCUAGGAAAGAAGGUUUGGGAAUUGCAAGUAUCAGAGCAUACAGAAGUCCAGUCGUCCUUAUGGGUGCAGAAGCUAAUCCAUGGGAAAUGUCUUUCCAUUAGCUUUGGAUGGCUAUGGGUCAAGAUGGAUGAGUGUGAAGUGUUAUCAUUAUACACCAAGAAUGCUAGCACUCAACACACAUGCAUAACAUGGGCAAAAGCUUGGCCCACAGCAUAAAUAUCAAUACAGCAUAAAUCCUGCAAGCAGCAACAUGAGCACAUUUCAGUUAGCUCAUCUCCCUGAUUCUGCCUCUUCUGAAAACCUGUAGCUAAAUCACUUCACCUGCCAUCCCUGGGGAAGAGGAAUGGAUCUGCAGCUGCCUUUUUUUUUUGAAAAUACGUUGGCAUUACUUGUUCUAAUACAAAGCCAAACAUGAAAAUUCCAGGAGCCCAUUCUAGGAGCUGGAAGAAUAAGGGGUUUAGUUUCACCAGCUUUGCAGUGUGUGUGUGUGUGUGUCUAUUUGCUGAUGAGCUGUGGGGAGAUUGCUAUCAUUACUUUCCCCACAAGUUGCCCCCACAAAAUUUCCAUCCCCUAUUGUGAAACUCUCAUGAGAUCAGUGAGUUUAGUUAUCUUGGGCCAAAAUCUAUUCUGAUGAGACUCUUGCUACAGACAAAUAGGAAACAGCUGCCUUGGGCUGCACACAUGCAUCUUGUGAUGUCUCCAAGCCCUUUGAGAUGGUGCAAGAGGCACAUGCAGGAGCAAGAAAAUGGGCAACCAGAGGCUCGGUCCUCCACAGAGAUGCUCUGGAAGCCUGCCAGAGCGUCCCUGUGGUUGGC